rnacentral:rRNA from 1 species
GACGAACGCUGGCGGCGUGCUUAACACAUGCAAGUCGUACGGUAAGGCCCUUUCGGGGGUACACGAGUGGCGAACGGGUGAGUAACGCGUGAGUAACCUGCCCUUGACUUUGGGAUAACUUCAGGAAACUGGGGCUAAUACCGGAUAGGAGCUCCUGCUGCAUGGUGGGGGUUGGAAAGUUUCGGCGGUUGGGGAUGGACUCGCGGCUUAUCAGCUUGUUGGUGGGGUAGUGGCUUACCAAGGCUUUGACGGGUAGCCGGCCUGAGAGGGUGACCGGCCACAUUGGGACUGAGAUACGGCCCAGACUCCUACGGGAGGCAGCAGUGGGGAAUAUUGCACAAUGGGCGGAAGCCUGAUGCAGCAACGCCGCGUGCGGGAUGACGGCCUUCGGGUUGUAAACCGCUUUCGCCUGUGACGAAGCGUGAGUGACGGUAAUGGGUAAAGAAGCACCGGCUAACUACGUG